rnacentral:miRNA from 1 species
UAAGCUGAGUGCAUUGUGAUUUCCAAUAAUUGAGGCAGUGGUUCUAAAAGCUGUCUAC